AGUGAACGCUGGCGGUAGGCCUAACACAUGCAAGUCGAACGGCAGCACAGUAAGAGCUUGCUCUUACGGGUGGCGAGUGGCGGACGGGUGAGGAAUACAUCGGAAUCUACUUUUUCGUGGGGGAUAACGUAGGGAAACUUACGCUAAUACCGCAUACGACCUACGGUGAAAGCAGGGGAUCUUCGGACCUUGCGCGAUUGAAUGAGCCGAUGUCGGAUUGGCUAGUUGGCGGGGUAAAGGCCCACCAAGGCGACGAUCCGUAGCUGGCCUGAGAGGAUGAUCAGCCACACUGGAACUGAGACACGGUCCAGACUCCUACGGGAGGCAGCAGUGGGGAAUAUUGGACAAUGGGCGCAAGCCUGAUCCAGCCAUACCGCGUGGGUGAAGAAGGCCUUCGGGUUGUAAAGCCCUUUUGUUGGGAAAGAAAAGCAGCAGGUUAAUACCCCGCUGUUCUGACGGUACCCAAAGAAUAAGCACCGGCUAACUUCGUG
rnacentral:rRNA from 1 species